rnacentral:SRP_RNA from 1 species
UGGAAGGUUUCUUGGAUAUACUAAGUAUGAACCCAGUCAGAUCUGAAAAGAAGCAGCUGUAAUAUUGAUGUAUAGGUUAAGAAAUCUUCCAUGA